rnacentral:rRNA from 1 species
GUGCUUACACAUGCAAGUCGAACGGAAACGAUACUAGCUUGCUAGUAGGCGUCGAGUGGCGGACGGGUGAGUAACGCGUAGGAAUCUGCCUGAUAGUGGGGGAUAGCCCGAAGAAAUUCGGAUUAAUACCGCAUAAUCUAUUCGUAGUAAAGUGGGGGACUUUCGAGCCUCACGCUAUCAGAUGAGCCUGCGUAAGAUUAGCUUGUUGGUAGGGUAAAAGCCUACCAAGGCGACGAUCUUUAGCUGGUCUGAGAGGAUGAUCAGCCACAUCGGGACUGAGACACGGCCCGAACUCCUACGGGAGGCAGCAGUGGGGAAUAUUGGACAAUGGGGGCAACCCUGAUCCAGCAAUACCGCGUGUGUGAAGAAGGCCUGAGGGUUGUAAAGCACUUUCAAUUGUGAAGAAAAGUUAGCGGUUAAUAACCGUUAGCCUUGACGUUAACUUUAGAAGAAGCACCGGCUAACUCCGUGCCAGCAGCCGCGGUAAUACGGAGGGUGCAAGCGUUAAUCGGAAUUACUGGGCGUAAAGCGUGCGUAGGCGGUUUAUUAAGUCAGAUGUGAAAGCCCCGGGCUUAACCUGGGAACUGCAUUUGAAACUGGUCAACUAGAGUAUGGUAGAGGAAAGUGGAAUUUCUGGUGUAGCGGUGAAAUGCGUAGAUAUCAGAAGGAACAUCAAUGGCGAAGGCAGCUUUCUGGACCAAUACUGACGCUGAGGUACGAAAGCGUGGGUAGCAAACAGGAUUAGAUACCCUGGUAGUCCACGCCGUAAACGAUGAUAACUAGCCGUUGGGGGGGAUUUACCCUUUAGUGGCGAAGCUAACGCGUUAAGUUAUCCGCCUGGGGAGUACGGCCGCAAGGUUAAAACUCAAAGGAAUUGACGGGGACCCGCACAAGCGGUGGAGCAUGUGGUUUAAUUCGAUGCAACGCGAAGAACCUUACCUGGUCUUGACAUCCUGCGAACUUUCUAGAAAUAGAUUGGUGCCUUCGGGAACGCAGUGACAG